UACGGAGGGUGCAAGCAUUAAUCGGAUUUAUUGGGCGUAAAGGGCGCGUAGGCGGUUUUUUAAGUCAGAUGUGAAAUUCCAGAGCUCAACUCUGGAGCUGCAUUUGAAACUGGAAGACUAGAGGAGUGGCGGAGAAAAUGGAAUUCCACGUGUAGCGGUGAAAUGCGUAGAUAUGUGGAAGAACACCAGUGGCGAAAGCGGUUUUCUAGCUUAUUCCUGACGCUGAGGCGCGAGAGCAAGGGGAGCAAAC
rnacentral:rRNA from 1 species